rnacentral:rRNA from 1 species
AUACGGAGGGUGCAAGCGUUGUUCGGAAUUAUUGGGCGUAAAGCGGGUGUAGGCGGCCAGGUAAGUCGGAUGUGAAAUCCCUGGGCUCAACCCAGGAACUGCAUUCGAAACUGCUUGGCUAGAGUCUCGGAGAGGGUGGCGGAAUUCCCGGUGUAGAGGUGAAAUUCGUAGAUAUCGGGAGGAACACCAGUGGCGAAGGCGGCCACCUGGACGAUGACUGACGCUCAGACCCGAAAGCGUGGGGAGCAAACAGGAUUAGAAACCCCAGUAGUCC